CAACAACUUGACCUCACACAGAGGAAGGUCAUGGACCUAGAGGACCGCUCAAGACGGCAAAACCUCAGGAUCAGAGGCAUCCCUGAGGAGGUGAAGCAGCAGGACCUACACGAAUACCUAAUGGGGUACUUUAAGGCACUAGCAUCAGACAUACCAGCUGAAAUUCUGCUGCUGAAUAGACACCACAGGGUGCAAAAGCCGGUGUUCCUACCACAAGAUACCCCCAGGGAUGUACUAACACACUUACAGUACUUCCACGCUAAGGAAGCACUACUCCGAAGCCACAAGAACAGGCAGAGAGCUGCCACA